rnacentral:pre_miRNA from 1 species
UGGAAGACUAGUGAUUUUGUUGUUGAAAUAUGAAAAUGAGCAACAAGUCACAGUCUCCCGUC